AUGCUAUCGAUGCAAGGGAAAGGGGCAUGGGAUUGCCCAAUGCCCAUCCCCUGAAGACUUUGACAAGAAGAUUAAGUGCCACGCCUGUAAGGGGAGGGGGCAUAGGAAGAUCCUAUGCCCCAUAAUAAAGCGGCAGGCUGUCAGAGCUGAAAAGUGUGCUCAAAUUGUAAGACAGAUGGAACGAGGGUCGGU